AUUGAACGCUGGCGGCAGGCCUAACACAUGCAAGUCGAACGGUAACAGGAAACAGCUUGCUGUUUCGCUGACGAGUGGCGGACGGGUGAGUAAUGUCUGGGAAACUGCCUGAUGGAGGGGGAUAACUACUGGAAACGGUAGCUAAUACCGCAUAACGUCGCAAGACCAAAGAGGGGGACCUUCGGGCCUCUUGCCAUCGGAUGUGCCCAGAUGGGAUUAGCUUGUUGGGGGGGUAACGGCUCACCAAGGCGACGAUCCCUAGCUGGUCUGAGAGGAUGACCAGCCACACUGGAACUGAGACACGGUCCAGACUCCUACGGGAGGCAGCAGUGGGGAAUAUUGCACAAUGGGCGCAAGCCUGAUGCAGCCAUGCCGCGUGUAUGAAGAAGGCCUUCGGGUUGUAAAGUACUUUCAGCGGGGAGGAAGGGAGUAAAGUCAGUACCUUUGCUCAUUGACGUUACCCGCAGAAGAAGCACCGGCUAACUCCGUGCCAGCAGCCGCCGUAA
rnacentral:rRNA from 1 species